UACGUAGGGAGCAAGCGUUGUCCGGAAUCAUUGGGCGUAAAGCGCGCGUAGGUGGCCCUGUAAGUCCGUUGUGAAAGUCAAAGGCUCAACCUUUGAAAGCCGAUGGAUACUGCCGGGCUAGAGUUCGGAAGAGGCGAGUGGAAUUCCUGGUGUAGCGGUGGAAUGCGCAGAUAUCAGGAGGAACACCUAUAGCGAAGGCAGCUCGCUGGGACGACACUGACGCUGAGACGCGAAAGCGUGGGGAGCGAACAGG
rnacentral:rRNA from 1 species